rnacentral:tRNA from 1 species
CUCCUCGUAGCUCAGCUGGAUAGAGCAACUCCCUUCUAAGGAGUAGGUCGCAGGUUCGAAUCCUGCCGAGGAGG